UAGUCCACGCCCUAAACUAUGCUCACUCGGUCUUUGCGAUAUACUGUAAGGGCCCAAGCGAAAGCGUUAAGUGAGCCACCUGGGGAGUACGACCGCAAGGUUGAAACUCAAAGGAAUUGACGGGGGUCCGCACAAGCGGUGGAGUAUGUGGUUUAAUUCGAUGAUACGCGAGGAACCUUACCUAGACUAGAAUGCUUAAUGACAUAUUUGGGAAACCAGAUUUUCCUUCGGGACAUUUUGCAAGGUGCUGCAUGGUUGUCGUCAGCUCGUGCCGUGAGGUGUUGGGUUAAGUCCCGCAACGAGCGCAACCCCUAUCUUUAGUUGCCAGCACGUAAUGGUGGGGACUCUAGAGAGACUGCCGGCGUAAGCCGCGAGGAAGGUGGGGACGACGUCAAAUCAUCAUGGCCUUUAUGCCUAGGGCGACACACGUGCUACAAUGGCGUGCACAGAGGGUAGCCAGACCGCGAGGUUGAGCCAAUCCCAGAAAGCACGUCCCAGUUCGGAUUGGAGUCUGCAA
rnacentral:rRNA from 1 species